rnacentral:rRNA from 1 species
UACGUAGGGGGCGAGCGUUGUCCGGAGUUACGGGGCGUAAAGCGCUUGUAGGCGGUCCACCAAGUUUGGGGUGACAGUUGCCGACUUAAUCGGCAAAGUGCCUCAAAGACUGGCGGACUUGAGGGCCACAGAGGGACAUGGAACUCCAGGUGUAGUGGUGAAAUGCGUAGAUAUCUGGAAGAACACCAAAGGCGAAGGCAGUGUCCUGGGUGGUCGCUGACGCUGAGAGGCGAAAGCCAGGGGAGCGAACGGG